GAACGCAUACUUUAGAGUAUGAGUGGCAGACGGGUGAGUAACGCGUGAGACAUCUACCUUACAGCCCGGUAUAAAUAUCUAUAUAGAGGCGAAAAUCUUUAUAUAUGAGUGAAUCCCGGAUAUUUUGAAUAAAAAAAAAGGCAAAGAACCGUUGUAAGAUGAGCUCGCGUAGGAUUAGGUAGUUGGUAAGGUAAAAGCUUAUCCAAGCCGAUGAUCCUUAGCUGUUCUGAGAGGAUGAUCACCCACACUGGGACUGAGACACGCCCCAGACGCUUUCUCGCGGCAGCAGUGAGGAAUUUCGGACAAUGGGCGAAAGCCUGAUCCAGCUAUAUCGCAUGAAUGAAGAAGGCUCAAUUGGUUGUAAAAUUCAUAGUUUCAUUGUAGAUUAUGACAUUGAUGAAAUGAAUAGUCCCGGCCAACUCCGUGC
rnacentral:rRNA from 1 species